rnacentral:rRNA from 1 species
UGGGGAAUAUUGCACAAUGGGCGCAAGCCUGAUGCAGCCAUGCCGCGUGUAUGAAGAAGGCCUUCGGGUUGUAAAGUACUUUCAGCGGGGAGGAAGGCGAUAAGGUUAAUAACCUUGUCGAUUGACGUUACCCGCAGAAGAAGCACCGGCUAACUCCGUGCCAGCAGCCGCGGUAAUACGGAGGGUGCAAGCGUUAAUCGGAAUUACUGGGCGUAAAGCGCACGCAGGCGGUCUGUCAAGUCGGAUGUGAAAUCCCCGGGCUCAACCUGGGAACUGCAUUCGAAACUGGCAGGCUAGAGUCUUGUAGAGGGGGGUAGAAUUCCAGGUGUAGCGGUGAAAUGCGUAGAGAUCUGGAGGAAUACCGGUGGCGAAGGCGGCCCCCUGGACAAAGACUGACGCUCAGGGGCGAAAGCGUGGGGAGCAAACA